ensembl:lncRNA
AUGUUUAUCGCUAUGAAAUCACGUUCAAGAAGUCUCAUUCAGCGCACAUCGCGAUAUUUGCCAUCAGUUUACAUGUGCCACAGGUUGGCUGAAAAAGACAUGAAGGAAGCAGUCAGCCCAGUCGUGUUUGUGGAGAGGUAUUCCUUCAGAAAUGGAGAAGAUAGAAAGCUGCGGAGGCAGACAUUUGCAGCAGAUUGUUUGCAGAUAACGCUGUACUCCAUCAUGCACAAGGACUCACCUCUUUAACUCUUUAUCCCCCACACACACAGAAAUGGUCCCUGGAUCAGUGUUUAGACUUUGCAGUGGUUUGAUUUUUGCAGAAAAUGCAACUUUGUUUUAAUUAUAAGCUUAUAAUGAAUACAUUUUGACCUUCCAGCAGCCCAUAUACUGUAUACAGAACCAGUGAUGAAAACAAUAGUUGAAAAUAGUAUUUUCGUAUUGAUAAAGCAUUGUGUUCUCUUUUUCAAGCUUCAUACAGUAAACUUUACUUCUGGUGCUUUUAUCAUAAAAAAGCAUCAGUUCUCAUCAGGAGUUUUAGUAAAGGACAUAUUCAUGCACAGCCAUCCCCUAGUUCCAGUCAUGAAGCGAAUGAUGUUAUUGUCAGAUUUAUAUUUCUGCAUUUUUAUGUAGCAGGUGUUUGUUUUCCUGAACACUUUAUUUUUCUUCCAUUGUUCGGACAAUCAAUGUUUAUUUGAUGCUGUGCUGAUAGAGUUUUAUAGAUAAUAUUGCACACUUGACAUGCAUGUCUUCAUGGUGUUAUUUUCUGAGUUUGAAACAGUGUGUUGUAUCACUUUUUGGUCAAUUUAACUUUUAAGAAAAAUUGAUUUUUUUCCAGUGUUCUCUGAAAGACUGUAUCUGUAUAUAC